ensembl:lncRNA
UCAUGCCAGUUCAUGACAAAAUACCCCUGCCCUAGGUUUUCGUGAAACGCCACCAUGUGUCUCAAAUGACGCACUAUACACUAGGGCUACGCUAUGCUGCUACUCAAUUUAGUGAGAUUGAGUCAGCGCUGAUGCUCGCAGCUCUCGCCGGGUGCAGUGGCGCGGGCCUGUAAUCCAAGCUGCUGGGAGGCUGAGGCUGGCGGAUCGCUUGAGUUCAGGGGUUCUGGGCUGCAGUGGACUAUGUCGAUCGGGUGUCCGCACUAAGUUCGGUAUCGAUAUGGUGCUCCUGGGGGAGCUCGGGACCACCAGGUCGUCUAAGGAGGGGUGAACCGGCCCAGGUCGGAGACGGAGCAGGUCAAAGCCCCCGUGCCGAUCAGUAGUGGGGUCGCACCUGUGAAUAGACACUGCAGUGCAGCCUGCGCGAUACAGCGAGACUCAGACUUUUGUGUUUGUAUCUGCAGGUGGACUAACAGCGAAAGAAAGAUGAAUUAUAUGAUUAAGAAUUCAAUGAUAAUCAAAUCGUUUCACUCUUACUUGUCAACUCCAGAUAAAGACGUUGUUUCACUUUCAAAUUUGUAGCCUUUUUAAACUUUAUAUCUUUUCAGCAGCUGCAUUUGCGGCGUUGUACUUGUUUGUUACCAUAAGAGGGGCUACUGUAUGUCGUGUGAAAUGACUGGUACUGUAUCGCCUCUCUCUGGCAGAUAUGUGAUAUUUCUGAUAAUACACAGCGUCUGCAUUCCAUGACCAGCUGGAGGCGCUGUUUAACCAAAAUGAGGCCAGUCUGAAUUUUCUCAAGAACCGUGCUCUAAACUAAAGCAGGGUUUUUCAACCAGGGGGGCUCGAGCAUCAGUUAAUUCAGAGACGUUCCCUUGAGGAUUUAUGAACAUGAGUUAGCAAAUCUUUAUCCAUCCACUAGGGGGCGAUCUGACUUCCACUGCUAGUCCACGGCUGGAGCAGAGUUUGCUCGAGUAUCAGUCACGCUUAUUGACAGUGUAAAAGAUGACAACAAGAGUAUCUCCAAGAUGAUUGACGGUUAGCUGUGUCGGAAAUCCCACCACGGAUUGGCAUGUUGUUAUCUCAGAAACAGGCUCAGCCAUCACACUGAAUCAGGUAAACUGGUCAUAUAUUUAUGUUUCAGUAUAAUUACGCACGCUAUACUCAGGGGCGGUUCUAAACCCUUUUUAGGUAGAUUUCAGUCCCCCAUCUGUCACCUUAGCCCCCCAAAACUAUUAGACCAGUGCUGUUUCCUUAAGAAUUUUUUUCAUUCUCACGUGUUUUAAGUCUCGUCGGUUUAAACAUUAAAGUAAGUUUUAAGCCAUUUAAGCCCAAGACAUCUCAAUGCGGUACUCACGCGCUUUGAUAGAGCGUUUCUUAUGCGCACCGCGCGCACACAUCUGAAGUGCACUAACAGAUAGUCUUCUCAGACAGCAGGUGAAGACCAAACGGCUGUCUCGACAAGUAUCCUUGUAAGCACAGUCGGUUGUUUUAUGUGGACGUAAACAGUAAAGAAACUAACAAAUGUACAUCAGUAUAACGGAUCCGUGCAUUUCUUAUGUAAAUAAUGUAAAUCAAAAAGAGC